CCCCCGCGCCGCAGCCGGCAUCGCGGCGGGACCCGGAGCCCGGAGUUCGGGUGGGUAACCCGAGCUCUCCAAGCUCUUGAAGCCGCGAGGGUGGCUUAGCUUCGGUGUUUUGGCUGAGAACACCCUUAAAGCUUAAAAUAAAACCUGCCUCUGGGGUGCAGGGGAGGAGAGAGGAGGACGCGAAUCACACCCGCUGCUGCGCGCCAGCCCGCCCCGUCUGUACAAUGGGAUGCUCGGGACUCGGACGGGAGGAUCCAGUGACUGCGAGCCCCGCAUUCGCCCGAUCCCAGCCUCACACCCCCAGCCAGCCCCCAGAGACCCUCCCACACUUACGAAGGAAAUGCAUGCGGCCAGGAGGAGAAUCCGCACCAGGAGCAGGGAGCUCUACCCAGGAAAAAGAAGAAAAGGACAGAUUCAUUUGGGGUUCAGCCUCAUGCCCCCCACACCCAAGACUUUGUGGCUAAGAGAAUCAGGCCACCUUGAGGUUCAUCAAGUUCAUCCCAUUAAAACCUCCCAAAACUCUGGA
rnacentral:lncRNA from 1 species